rnacentral:rRNA from 1 species
UACGUAGGGUGCGAGCGUUAAUCGGAAUUACUGGGCGUAAAGCGUGCGCAGGCGGUUUUGCAAGCCGGAUGUGAAAUCCCCGGGCUUAACCUGGGAAUGGCAUUUGGGACUGCAAGGCUGGAGUGCGGCAGAGGAGACUGGAAUUCCUGGUGUAGCAGUGAAAUGCGUAGAUAUCAGGAGGAACACCGAUGGCGAAGGCAGGUCUCUGGGACGUUACUGACGCUGAGACGCGAAAGCGUGGGGAGCAAACAGG